GUGUUUUUGUUUCUGUUUUGUCUUUCUUUUUUCAUUUGUUUCUCUCUGUUUCUUUCUUUGUAUUUGCCAUCUUUUUACUUUCUUUCUUGUUCUUAUGUUUUAGUCAGAUUACUCCUUUUUUCUUCCUUUUUCGUCUUCUUCUCUUUUUUGUUUUCUUUUCUUUUUUGUUCACCUGUUUUUUCGUUUUCAUUUGGUUUUUCUUUGUUUCUUUCAUUGUUUUUAUCAUUUUUGGGUUUUCUUGGUUUGCAUUCUACAUUUUUCGUAUAUGUCAUGAAGAUUUUUCUAAUGCACGUUAAUACUUUUUAAUAUGACGUUAUUAUUAUCUAGGACAUGGUUAAUAAUUUUUCUAGUCAUAUUUAAAUACUUUAUAAAUGCUGGAUUUACAUUUUCUAAUAAUAGUUAAUAUUUUUAAUACACAUUUUAAAACAUUUUCAAAUGCUUGAUUAAAAAAUUCAAAAACAAGAUUAACAUUUUUAAUAAAAGGUCAAUAUUUUACCUAUACCCUCUUCACAAGAAUGCAAAUGCUUCAGUAACACUUGUCAAAUACAAGAUUAACAUUUUUUAAUACACGCUCAACAUUUUUUCUAUACACACUUUUAAAAAAAAUUCAAUGCUUGUUAACAUCUUUCGAAUACAAGAUUAACAUUUUUUAAUACAUAGUCAAAAAAAUUCCUACAAACUCUUUUAAACAUUUUCGACUGCAAGAUUAACAUUUUUCUGAAUGCAUGGUAAAAAAAAUUGUAUCCACAUUUAAAAUUUUCAAAUGCUUGAUUAAACAUUUUUAUAUACUUCUCCAACAUUUUUAAAAUUUCUUGAUUAAUAUUUUCAUAUAAAAUGAUCAAAAGGUUACAUCAUUUUUUAAUACAUGGUCAACAUUUUUUCUAUAUAAAUUCAACAUUUUUAAGCACUUGAUUAACAUUUUCCAAAUACUUGUUUAAAAUAUUCUAAAUACAUGAUCAACUUUUUUCACACCCAUUGUACAUUUUUUAAUACAUUGUUCGUAUAUGUGAUUAACAUUUUUUCAUACACAUUUAACAUUUUUGAAAUGCACUAUUGACAUUUUUUAGAACAUUUCUGAAAAAUAUAUUUUGUAGUAUAUAUAUUUAGAAUUUUUGGAGUGUAAACAAAAGUAAGAAAAUAAAUCAGAAAAAGAAAGCAAAAGGUCAACAAAAAAAAGACGAAAGCCAAUUAUUUGUUCAUGCCCUGGAAUUGGUCAUGCCAAUUAUUUGUUAGGGCAAGAUUGAGCUCAAUCCGAACGGGAGCGCCUAUACAGCGCGAUACUCGCCNNNNNNNNNNNNNNNNNNNNNNNNNNNNNNNNNNNNNNNNNNNNNNNNNNNNNNNNNNNNNNNNNNNNNNNNNNNNNNNNNNNNNNNNNNNNNNNNNNNNNNNNNNNNNNNNNNNNNNNNNNNNNNNNNNNNNNNNNNNNNNNNNNNNNNNNNNNNNNNNNNNNNNNNNNNNNNNNNNNNNNNNNNNNNNNNNNNNNNNNNNNNNNNNNNNNNNNNNNNNNNNNNNNNNNNNNNNNNNNNNNNNNNNNNNNNNNNNNNNNNNNNNNNNNNNNNNNNNNNNNUUUCAGCUUAAUUUCAGUUUCAAAAAAAUAGGAUUUCAGAAAAAGUUAGAAGUUGUCCAAUUAUUUGUGAAUUCAAAAGGUUGUUCCCUAUUUGAAAUUUCUUCAGGAAAUGAUAAAUUCUCAAGAAUUCAAAAAAUGUUCACAAUUUCGAAAAUAAUGUUCAUGUGCAAAAAAUAUUUAUAAAUUUCUAGAAAAUGUUCACCAUAUUCAAAAAAUGAGCAGGAAUUUUGAAAAAUGUUCCCCAAAUUCACAAAAUGUUCGCAAUUUCAAGAACUAUGAAGGAACUAAAAAAUGUUCGUCAAAAACAAAAAAAGCUCGGAAUUUCAAAAAAUGUUCAGAAAUUUCAGAAAAUAUUCGCCAUUUACAGAAAAAUUUACACAAUUUCAAGGAUUGUUCGUGAUUUUGAAAAAAAAAACCAUGAUUAUAUAAAACAUUUGACAGGUUUAAAAACUGUUCAUGAUUUCAUAAAAUUGUUUACUUUUUCAAAACAAUAUUCACGAAUUUGUAAAAAAAUAUUCAGCAAUUUGAAGAAUGUUCAUAAUUUCGAAAAAAAAUCGCAAUUUUAAGGAAGUUUGUUCGUAAAAUUGAUACAUGGCCGAACUUUUUUCAGAAAAGGUGAAAAUAAGGAAAAAGUAAAAAAAACAGAACAUUAAAGAAAAGAAAAAAUAAAAGAGUUAAUUGGAAAAGUUAAACAGAAAAAGGAAAUAAAAAACGGAAGAAAUAAACAAGAAAAAACCGGUUCUGGGAAGGUUCUAGAACCUUCCCAAAACCGGUGGGGAGGAAUCCCUAUAUGGGCCGGUCCAACGGACGCUGGGGGAGGGGAAGAGACCUCCUAUAAUCCGCACUCUGUGGGAAAGUGUCGUGGCUUCGCACAGGCGGCCUCCGGCUGGGCUGGCCCAGUACCGCCAGCGGACUUGUAUUGUAGCUCAAAAAAAACGACUUUGCAUGAAAUCGAACCAGGGAUCUCGUGCUGCAAAAUAGAAUUUGCGACCAGCUGAGCUAGCGAUCUUUUCUAGUAAGAUAGCAGCGUCAAUCUUUAAGAACCAACACACAGGGCAGUUCCGAAUUAUUUUUGUAAUUUCGAAUUCAUUUUUUUAACAAAAAAUGAGUAUUUUCUGACACGCGAAUACCUUUCAAAUUUCAGAAUGGUUUUUUAUAAACAGAAAUGUUUAAGAAAAUAAUUGACAUUUUUCGUAAUCAGGAACAAUUUUUUAAACGAGAAUUUUUUUUCAAAUUUCAAAAUAAAACUGGGGAAAUACAAACAUUUUAAACUCCUGACAAAAUAUGCAAAACAUGAACUUUUUUAUUGAAAUUUCUGAACAAUUUUUGACAAGGGAGUUUUUUUUUGAAACUUCAGAAAACGAAAACAUGAACAUUUUUUGAAACCGGAACAUUUUUUGAAAACUUGUGAAAUUUUGGAGCAGAAAUUAUUCCGAACUUUUUUUGUGAGAACACAAACAAUUUUUUGAAUAAGUGAAAUUUUUUUGAAAAAUGUAUGCGAACAUUGUUUUUGGAAAAAAUGAUCGUCUUGGAAUUUUUAUCAUUUUUAGAAGCAAGAACAUUUUUUGAAAGUCACGAACAUUUUUUUAACUCCCGAACAUUUUUUGAAAAUUUUGAACAAAAGCAUUCGCAACAUUUUAACCAAAACAAGAACAUUUUUUGAAAAUAAUGAACUUUUUCGAAUUUAUGAACAAUUUUUUAAAACGACUAUUUUUUAAAUUUUGAACAUUUUUAAAGGCAUGAACAUUUUCAAAAUUUAAGAGCAAUUUUGGAACAUGAACUUAGUUUAAAAAAGAUAAAAUAACCUUGAAAAGGAAAAAAUAAAAAUAAUAGAAAAAAAAGAAUAAAAGAAUAGAAAAAGAGGAAAAAGAAACAAAAACUAAAAAAAGAAAACAGAAAAACCAGCAAAAAAACAAAAAACCCGGUGUGGGGAACCUUCUAGAAGGUUCCCAAAACCGGCUGGCUGUUGCAAUUGUACACUCAACUGGGCCGACCCAUCACAUCGCUGCUCAGUCGCUCGCGUAUGCGAAGCGCCGGCAGUUUGACGCAAAGAGCUUCAAAUAGGAUUUCCCGAAGGGGAACGCGCCAAGGGAACUCCUAUUGGACACUCGCUGCGGCAAGCAGUCGGCAUUUCACACACGAGCAGCUUGGCUGGGCCGGCCCAUAUUGCGGGUGCGGCACAUUCGUAGGUUAAAAAUCGCGAAAAAGGAAAAAGGGUACUGGAAUCGAACCCAAGACUUCCUAUUGCUAAGCGCGAUGAGCUAGCCGCCCCAACUAGCUACUUCUUAUGGUAAAUUGGCAGCGCGAACCUAAAGAAAUUAACGGUAGCGAGAAAACAUAAAAUCUGAAUACGCAAAAUUACGAUGAACCAAGGUGUGAGCGAGGCACCUCUCAAUACAACUAGGUAGUCAAAAAAGGUAGCCCAACAAAUAUGAACUAUAAACCGCGACAAAGGCUAUAAUUAAAAAAAUUCAAACGUGAAUUCUUUUGGCAAAAAGUAAAUAUUUUCUGAAACGCACCCAUUUUAUAAUUUGUGAACAAAAUUUUAAAAAUUAGAACAUUGUAUGAAACCGAAAACAUGUUUUUGGAAUAAAAAAGGAAGAAAACUGAAAUUGCGAACAUUUUGUUUAAAUGCGACCACUUCAAAAUUUGUGAACAAUAAUUUUAAAAUUCGAACAUUUUCGUAAUUUCAUACGAGAACAUUUUUCAAAUUUGCGAACACUUUUUUGAAAAACAGAAUAGAAUUGAAAACCCAAACAUUUCGAAUUUCCCAAAACAUCUUUCGAAGACAUGAACAUUUUUGGAAUUUGUGAACAAAUUAUUUAAAGCACGAACGAUUUUGAAUCUUGAGAACAAAUUUGGAAGCGCCAACUAUUUUUUCAACCACGGACAUUUUUUGAAUCUUGAGAACAAAUUUUGAAAUGGAAAACAAUUUUGAAAUAUUCCGAACAAAUUUGGAAGCGCGAACAAUUUUUUAAAGCACGAACAUUUUUUCAAUCUUGAGAACAAAUUUUGAAACGAAGAACAAUUUUGAAAAAUCCCAAACAAAUUUGGAAGCGCGAACAUUUUCUUUAAAAAGUGAACAAAAUAUUGAAAUCUGCUACAUUUUUUGAAUUUCGAAAGUUUUGAACUUUUCUGUGUAACGAGAACAUUUUUUGAAUUUUGAGAACAUUUUUUCAAAAGCUGAACAUUUUCUGAAAACAUGAACAAAAUUUCAAAUUUUCGAUCUUUUUGAAGAAAAAAGAGAAGAAAAGAAAAAGAAAUAACAAAGAAAAUCCUUUUUUUGUAAAACUGCAAACAUGUUCUGAAAAAGAAAAAGAAACUUGAAAAAUAAAAGGUAACAAAAAAGAAAAAAUGAAAAAGAAACAGAAAACGAAAAAACAAUCAGGAAAGUGUAAAAAAAUGGAAAACCAAUAAAAGAAAAAAAACGGUUCAUGGAACCUUCUAGAAGGUUCAUAAAACCGGAGUGGGCAGUUUGUUUGCUAUGUACGUAAGUGGGCCGGUCCAAAAGCAUCGCUCGGUCGCUCGCUGUGUGCGAACCGCCGGCAGUUUGCCGCAAUGAGCGGCCAAUAGGAUUUUCUACGCGCCAACUCGCUAGCGAGCGACCUAUGCGCCAUAAAGGGAUCGCCAAUCCAAACAGCCCAGUUGCCGCGCCAUGGGCGCCAUCAAGCUCAGCUGGCACGCACUAUGGGCCGGCCCAGUUAACCUCAGCUCGCUCGUUUAAUUCCAAACUUCUAGGUCGGUGGCUCACCUGGUUCGACCGGUUGACCAAUAACUUAUUGACGGUUGAAGAGUCAAACCGUUAACCAUUCACUUUUUAAAAAGUUCAAAUUUUUAAGAAACAGAAAUAAAUAUGUUAGCAAAAUUAACAAAAAUCAUAAAUUUCAAAAAGAACGUGCCUUUGAAAAUUCAUGAUUUGUCUUUUUAAAAUCCAUGAAAUAUGGGGAAAAUGUUCACAAUUUUGAAAUAAAAUCAUUAAUUCGAAAAAUUUCAUGAAAUUUGGGGAAAAAAGUUCGUGAAUUUGACUACAAGUGACACGGAUUUGGGAAAAAAAAUCACGCAUUUAAAAAAAUCAAUUUUGAAUUAAAAUUUUCAUUUAUUAGAAUAAAGUUCACUGGAUUUUGAAAAAAAAGUCACGGAUUUGAAAGAAGUUCAUCGACUUUGAUAAAAGAAUUCACAAAUUUGAAAAACAUUCAUCAAUUUUGAAAAAGUGCCACGAAUUUGGAAAAAAUGUGAACAAAUAAAGUUAACGAAUUUGAAAAAAGAUCACCUAAUUUUGAAAAAAGGUUCGCGGAUUUGUGAAAAGUAUGUUGAUUGUGAUAAAAAUAAAUUUCAAAAAUUUGAAUGAAGUUAAUCAAUUUGAUAAAGUUCCCAAUUUGAAUAAAGUUCCAAAUUUUAUUAUUUUUCUAUGCAUCUUAGAAAAUAAAAAGAAAAAAGAAAAAAGAAAAAAGUAAACAAAAAAUUAACAACCCGAGCGAAAAAAACAGAUGAAAAAUUGGACAAACAAGAAAAGUCUAGAAGGCGCAGAAUAAGAAGCAACAGAAGUAUUAGAAAGCAUAGUGUGUGAGCCGUCCGAGUUGGUUACUGAAUUUGGAAGAAGACGGUGAGGUUCUAAGUUUGAACCUCACGACCCGCGUGACCUUUUGAAGGUUGAAAAAGAAGAAAAAUGGGCCGAGCCCAGGACACAGAGGGUGUACGCCGGUUUAUUCAUGUGCCUUAAAGUGGAGCAGGGGAAGGGAAUGCUCUUUUGCUGCUGACUAUCUUGUAUGGGCUUCUUCGAUCCCGACAGGUGGGGCACAAUCAGGGCAAGUUUGAUGAGGAUAAUGGUAUGUCAGAGGAUGAUAUCGAUCCAGGUGCGGCGACCAAGUGUAACGAGCUUAAAAAAAUUCAGAACGCCGCACCCCAUGCCUAGUCAGGAUCCACCUUGUGAUGCUACCGAUGCAUCGAACUCCCCGACAUAUUUUAAAUGUUCAGAACUUUUUUAAAUAAAAUAGCACAUUUACACAAAAUAAAUGUAUGUUGUCAUAAAAUUUCAAAUUAAAAUUUUAAAAUAGUGUAUGUUGUCUCAAAAACUCAAACUAAAAUUCAAAACAUAGCUCAAAAAACAAAAUGACAAAUUUGACAAUAAAUAGUACACCCCUCAACUCUAGCCCUAGUCUAAUUUACACCCCCAACUCCAAUAUCAUCUAGUUUACACCCCACAACUCUCAAAACCAGCUAGAAUUCAACCCUCCCCUCCCUGUUGACCGGUUUUGACCUGUUGACUGGGUGAACAGUAAAUUUAAAAGGAAUAAAAAAUUUAAAGAAAACAUGUUUAACCGAGUGAACAGUAAAUUCACAAGGAUAUAAAUAAAAAAUUCAAAAAAUAAAUUUGUUUUUUUAUUUUUUAUUUUGUUUGGUGAACAGUAGAUUCAGAAAAAUAAUAAAAAACAAAAAAAGACAAAUGUGACGUCUGUGAAACAGUUAACAAUACAUACUGUUCGGGACAAUCUUUUUUGUUGAGAGACCACUCAAAUAUCCAAACAAGCUGAAAAAUCGGCGCGGACAUCACGCAUUGAAAAUCAUCCAUGCAAAAAUAAUUCCGUUUUUUUUGAAAAAUUUAGUAUUUUUUUGAAUUUACUAUUCAGCCGGUAAAAAAUCAAAAAUGUUUGUUGAAUUUUAUUUCCAACUUUUUUAAAUUUACUGUUCACCCAUCGACAAACAAAAUUAUUUUUUGAUUAUUUUAGUUAUUGUUCAGCCAGUCAACGGGUCAAAUCUGGUCAACUGUGUCAAAACUGGUCAAUAUGGAGGCGAGGUUGAAUUUUGGCCGGUUUUGAGAGUUAGGGGGUGUAAACUAGACGGUAUUGAACUUGGGGGUGUAUAUUAGACUAGGUCUAGAGUUAAGGGGUGUAAUAUGCACUUCUCUCCUUUAGAUUUGACCCCUUGUCACAUUGAUGUCUAAUUAAUCACCUUUGUAUCUCGAGCAGUGUUUUGAAUUUUGAUAUAAAAUCUUAUGAUAAUAUACAUCGAUGUUGCAUCAAUAUGCUAGAUUUUAGAAGAAAAGAAACCCUCGGGUUUUCGGGGCAUUGCAUUCUCACCCAUCUCUUCAUACUCAAGCGACGUUCUCUCUUCUACUUCGUUGACUCUCGCUUUCGCGGUUGCCUCUCUAAGGCGGACACUAUCCUAUCAAUGCAUUUUGGCAUCCCACACCUUUAUUUUUUUGCGAGAAACUUUCAGUCUAUUCAUUUUCAAUCAUGGUGGUUCAAAGAAUAACAGUGGUAAUAAAAACUUAGCCCCCUUUCGUACAACCUGUUCUCUCUUUGUGAAAGGCCUCUGAUUUCAUGAUCUAAUUUGAAGAACUGGCUUAAGAUCGUAGCUCUAGUUGAAAAAAUCCCCCACUCAAGUUAGGCCCUGGAAAACCAACCAAAGAAUGGAAGGAAUGCGCGAUGGAGGCCCUCGUAAAUUAUAAUUUGAACUAUAGCCAGGGCAAAUCUCUUAAUAUCGGAGGUUGGUUUCUAGGCAGGUGCAUAGGAGCCGUCAAAGGAAAGGCGAGAAGCCUUGGCUUUGAUGCACCCCGAUUUAUACAAAAAGGAUCAGAGGUCAAAUUAGUUAACGAAUUAUGAUAUUUGUGAAACAUACAUAAUGUGCUACCCCUCCGUUCCAUAAUGUAAGACUUUUUUUGAUACUACAAUAGUCAAAAAAAUAUGUUACAUUAUGAAACGGAGGGAGUAGAUUUUUAAACAAGGGAACUUCAAUGAAGCCAGAUUCUAUUUUUUAAACAAGGAAUUUCAAUGAAGCCAGAUUCUAUUUUUGCAAAUGCUGCAGCGACUUCUUUGACAGGAAUUCAUCAAUAAAAAAAGUGGAAGAGCAUGAAGCUUCAUUCCCUUGCAAGCUGAUAUGGCGCCUGGCAUUCCACAUUCAAAACAAGCAAUCUCGGGCCGCAGCUUCUAAGAAUCUCAGCUAGCAGGUUUUGCAGCGACCCUCCCCGAGAGGAUAACUAAGGGCGUGUUUGGUUGCCCGCAUAAGAUCCAACCAGGCCCGCGCGUGAAGGAUUCGGCCUGUUUGGUAGCCUGCAUACAUUAUUGGGCCUACAUCGCAUGCUUCUUAAAGCAUCUCAGGGCCUGGCUCACUGAAAACGCACGAAUCGGCAGUUUCUCUAGGGACAGGCCCGAGCGGUGCACGUGGGCGGGCGCGGCUGCACGCGCGCGGCCACGCUCGAGAAGCCGCGUUGCUUCCCGAAGCACCGGCAGUUAUUAGCCUCACCGCCCCUCACCGCUCCCUCUCCCCACUCUUCCCCACUCUUCCAACUCUCACCGGCGGCGGCGGAUUGGAACAGAGGAAGAAGACCACCGGACUCCAUCACCAGCGACGGCGGAUCAGAGCAGAGGAAGAAGACCACCAGACUCCAUCAAUGGUGGUAAGCACUUCUCUCUCUUCGACAUGAACACUUGAUUCGAUCCACGGCGAUAGAUUUGAUCCACGGCGGACGAGAAUGGGGAACAGAGGUAGCUAAGCAUAGGGGUAAUUCAUACUAGUUCAUAGCAGUUCAUACGAGUUCAUACAUAGCAGUUCAUACAUGCAAGAUCGGUAGAUUUCGCGAUUGGGGGAUAGGGGAAUAGGGGGAAAGGGGGUACAGAACGGACACCGGCUGACCGUGGCGGCCGUCACCGGCGUGCGGAGCGGCUGGUCGAGCCGCUGGCCUUCAUCUUCUUAUUCAUCGCCGUGCGGUCCGGCGGGUCAUCCUCGGCGGAGUCGAGGUCGGUCUGCCAAGUAGGACGGACUGGCUUCGGUGCCCUAACCGCCUCUUCUUCCUCCUCCUUAGACUCCCCGCCAAUGACCGCCGACGGCGCGAUACCCGUCCCCAGUACACUGCGGCACGGCGGUCAUUAGGAGCCCAGUAGGUCUUGUACUUGCACCACUUCUUCCUCUGUUUAGGGUCGUCGGAGACGGCCUGAUUCAUGGCCCAGCAAAUGAUGUCAACUGCCAUCGCACCCUUCGCUGGGUCAGGAAUCAGUGUCUUCAGCUCAUCUUUAGUGGCCUUCAUGAGCACGACAUUGGAUUCGUUCUGCAUGUCCAGCAUGGAGCCGAAGUUCGAGCACACCUCCAUGGUGUUCUCGAACUUGGUCCGAUCACCAGCCGUCCACCCGAGAAAGAAGGCCCUCCAGCCAAUACCCCAAGGGAAGGGGUUGCCGUUGGAGCUGGAGCUAGAGCUCAUGGCGAUAGGGAGGAGGAAGGUUGACAGUGAGAGAAGAGAGGGGGUGGGUAAAUAGUGGUGGGUAGGGUGAGUAAAUAUAGGGGGUGGAGAGGAGGAGAAGAGUGACAGUCAUGUCGUUUUAACUACAAGCUCUUGAAUUAGCCAUGAACUCUGUGCAAUGCCUGAUUCCAUGACUUGUGUGCAGAUCGAGGAUAGCAAUGAGAUGGGCACGGAGGUACUCUCGGCCGUUGAUAGCAAGGGCAAGCAGCCCCUUCACCCAAUGCCUGACGAGGUUGAGCUACCGCCCACCACCGAGGAAGACCCGAAAACGCGUGAGGGUGGCGACGACGAGGGCAUGGAGGAGCCCCUAGCAACAAGUGCCGCAACUACGGCCACUACCAUCAAGAGGAUGACCCAACUCACUUCCGCAAGGUCAUCCUUGCACCGAAGCUUGAGUGCAUCCCCAUGCCCCUGGACUUCACCAAGCACUUCGUCGCGGUGCCGACGGAGUUCAAGCUCAGGAAGAACACCGACUGCUCCUGGAAGGUAACGGUCAAGCUGAUGAACGGCAGGGUGACCCUAGAUCAGGGUUGGGCCACCUACGCAGCCGUUCAUCAGAUCAACAUCGGCUACAUGGUGAUGUUCAAGCUCCUCACUCCCGACACCCUCAAGGUCAUCAUCUUCGACGACGAUAGCAUUGAGGUCAUCAACAAGUGCGGGAAGCACAACGAAGCCUUCGCCGCCAAGGAGUAGGGCCGGGGCACCUUCUUUUUAAUUACUAUCGAGUCUGCUUUGAACUGUUUAUGGUUUAUGCGUUGAAAUGUUAUAUCUGUGGUACUGCUUAUAUCUGAAUUAUGCUAGUUGAUGCUCUGUUUAUACUCUGUUGUGCUUAUGAUGUGUGAUGCCAAAGUGUGGUGGUAACCUCACCAACUAGCCAAAUAGAUUACCACACAUCAGGCCUUGCAUAUAAUAAAACACCAUGCCUUGGGUUUGUGGACUAACAUGCAGGCAACCAAACACCAGGCAGUGUGGUUCAGCCCAUGCAGGUAAGAGGGCAUGCAGGCAACCAAACAACAUGCAUAUGGUGCAUUUGAGGCUGCAUUUGCAUAGCCAGGUUGGAUGGAGAAAUUUAUGCAAUGCGGGUACUGUAGCACACGGCAACCAAACACGCCUUAGGAAGCUCACUCUAAUUAGACCAGCUGCAAUACGUUGGAUGUUAGGAUCCUCCUAGCAUGUACACGUACAGAGGCUGCCCCUUGGACCAGCCCAUGGACUUGGCCCUCGGUGCAGCUACUUAAGCAUGGUGUACAGAAGGAGAGGGUAUCCAGUGGAUCACGAACGAACCGACGACGGCUCUUUCCUCCUACCUUCUUCCCCCUGUUGCAAGCUUCCUCUGUUCUUCUCAUCCAUUGUGUAAUUCCUCUGUAAUCACUACUCUAUAUUGCUACUCGUGAGAGAGAUCGAUCUAUACAAGCUAGCUACCAUCACCUCUCUUACAUCUGGUAUCAGAGACCAGCCACCACUCCUUCCCUAUGCGUUUCGCCAAGCUCGUCGGCAUCGGGCAGCCAUGGAUCCAUGGAUGCAGGCGUAUCUCGAGCGGAUCGACACCAUGCUCGAUGCCUACACAGACGCCACCAGGUCCCUCACCGAGAAAGUGGACGCUCUGGUCGUCGUCUGGCGGCCAGACCUGGAGAAGAGGUCCUCCCACACCGCCGUCGUCCACGGUCCACCGGCGCCGACCUCGGCGCUCGAGACCACUACUGAGGCGUCUGAACCCGUCCCUAACAUCUACUACUCCACCACCAAGGCCCAGGAGAUCCCCACGGUCGCCCAUGAUGCAACUCCGAUAUGCAUUCCGAUGGUGCCUGUCACCUGUUCGACGGAUUGCCCGACCCAGAUCGACGCCAUCGACAGCGCCGACGAAGUCCAUGACGCCGCCAGCGUCGCAACAGAGGUUCGCAACACUACAACCGCACUCGGCCCCGAGCUCGCGGUCGACCUCUGCAACACCUGUGGUCACUAUGGCAAGUUCGACGGCCUCAACAUCCCCGUGAAGGCCAGCAUCAGCCCGCCGCCCCACGUCCAGGAUGCAUUCCCAAAUUCCACAAUCAGCAAUUGUCGUGCCGAUGUUGCCGGGACGGACGAGUACGCACUCGUGGAGGCCACUCCAGACGUCGCCAUUGAGCUUGCCAUCCUCCCAGGCGUCUCCUCCUUCAUGAACAAACUAUUCUGGAAGCAUGACAUGGACGUCUCGCCGCCCACAAGGCACAAAGGGCUGCCAAUACGGCCGACACCAUGGCCGUCAUUUUUGGUGCAUCAUAGUGCAAAGGGGAACGAGAUUCGACCCACUCCGUGGCUAUCGUUUUCUUGCUCUCAUGAAGGUAUGACUCUGAAUCAUGAAACUCUGCUGCCUCAUGUUACAUGUGUGAUGAAGAAAUUACUUGCUAGAGGAUGCACUGAUUUCACACUCGGAAAGACUGGUUUACCCAGAUUUCACGUUGAUAAUUCCGCGUAUAGUUCUAAGCAAGUUGGUGAUCUUUUGGUGCACCGACCGCUUGUGAUACUGAAGCAUAGGGGCUGCCUAAAACCUUUGAGCAGCAAGACUGAAGUACCUUGUUGGUGUGAUCACUUCAUCAGCAGAAGUCCACAAAUAUCCCAGGCAAUGCAUUGCCAACUAGUAAAUGAGCUGAAACCUUCUUGGCUGCUGAAUUAUUUAUCUGUUGUCCUGAAUUCUUUCUCAACAUUCUCAAGAUAUUUGCCAAGGGUAGAGCAGGUGCCCAGUAUUUUUCUGAAGGUUGUUUCCAGGAUCCGUAUGGUGCCAAUAGAUAUUCUUAUUCUGAGCAAUCGGUUAAUCCUAUUACCUCUCUCAUGGUUGUCCACUGUUGUGGCCUGAUUCCCGUGGAGGAGCACUUCAAUUGUGUGCAAAAUACCGAGUUGCAGUUUUCCUAUUUACUAGCUGGAAGAACAUAUACUGAUAAAUGGUUAAGUCAAAAAGGUUCCGAGGGAAUUGAGUGCUUGGAUAUCUUGUUGAUCAGUCUACAGUGUAUUGACGACCGCCUAGCAGAAAUUAUGUUCGAUGAGAUUGCGCUGCAGCUUGCUACACAUUGCAAGGAAUUUGGCAUUGCAGGAGAGGUGUUGAACAGCUAUGUUUCUCCUGUUGCUUCAGUGGAGCACCCACCCUGUACUUUUGGGCAGCUUAUCCUAUUUGUGUCAAUGCACUGGAACAAUUCAUGUCGGAAGGGAUUCAAAAGAAGUGGUCAUACUGCAAUCAGCUUACACGUACAAGAGUAAUUCACUAGUGUGUGAAACUGCUAGUUCAGUUAAAGGGUUGACUGGAUUGAAAUCUGAGGAUGUCGGGUCUAACUCAAUAACAUUCUCAAGGAGGGAGGGGUGUCAUCGCUGUCGCAGCCCGCUUCGCGCAAAGCUCCAUCGACCACAAGUACUACAUUGACUUUAACAAUGACUACUUCCUCGACAGUUCCUUCGGUGGGAUCGCAAUCGUCCAUAACUACUACUCCCAUGUUGUUAAAGCCAUCUCUGCCUUUAGCUGCCGCUACGACUUUGAGCCAGUCAAGGACCAUCGAGUGCAAUGGGACCCGGGCGAUUUUCGGUGGCACCGGCUUGGGGUCAAGCCGGAUUUCAAGGAGGGAGGGAUGUUAGGAGCCUCCUAGCCUGUACACGUACAAGGGCUGCCCCUUGGACCAGCCCAUGGACUUGGCCCUCGGUGCAGCUACUUAAGCGUGGUGUACAGAAGGAGAGGGUAUCCAGUGGAUCACGAACGAACCGACGACGGCUCUUUCCUCCUACCUUCUUCCCCCUGUUGCAAGCUUCCUCUGUUCUUCUCCUCCAUUGUGUAAUUCCUCUGUAAUCACUACUCUAUAUUGCUACUCGUGAGAGAGAUCGAUCUAUACAAGCUAGCUACCAUCACCUCUCUUACAUCUGGUAUCAGAGACCAGCCACCACUCCUUCCCUAUGCGUUUCGCCAAGCUCGUCGGCAUCGGGCAGCCAUGGAUCCAUGGAUGCAGGCGUAUCUCGAGCGGAUCGACACCAUGCUCGACGCCUACAUCGACGCCACCAGGUCCCUCACCGAGAAAGUGGAUGCCCUGGUCGUCGCCUGGCGGCCAGACCUGGAGAAGAGGUCCUCCCACACCACCGUCGUCCACGGUCCACCAGCGCCGACCUCGGCGCUCGAGACCACUACUGAGGCAUCCGAACCCGUCCCUAACAUCUACUACUCUACCACCAAGGCGCAGGAGAACCCCACGGUCGCCCAUGAUGCAACUCCGAUAUGCAUUCCGAUGGUGCCUGUCACCUGUUCGACGGAUUGCUCGACCCAGGUCGACGCCAUCGAGAGCGCCGACGAAGUCCAUGACGCCACCACCGUCGCAAUGGAGCUUCACAACACUACAACUGCACUCGGCCCCGAGCUUGCGGUCGACCUCUGCAACACCAUGGCGACCACCAAGGUAGCCACCUGUGGUCACUACGGCAAGUUCGACGGCCUCAACAUCCCCGUGAAGGCCAGCAUCAGCCCGCCGCCCCACGUCCAGGAUGCAUUUCCAAAUUAUUCCACAAUCAGCAACUCCCGCGCCGAUGUUGCCGGGACGGAUGAGUACGCACUCGUGGAGGCCACUGCAGACGUCACCAUUGAGCUUGCCAUCCUCCCAGGCGUCUCCUCCUUCAUGAACAAGCUAUUCCGGAAGCAUGACAUGGACGUCUCGCCGCCCGCAAGGCACAAAGGGCUGCCAAUACGGCCGACACCAUGGCCGUCAUUUCUGGUGCAUCAUACUGCAAAGGGGAAUGAGAUUCGACCCACUCCGUGGCCAUCGUUUUCUUGCUCUCAUGAAGGUAUGACUCUGAAUCAUGAAACUCUGCUGCCUCAUGUUACAUGUGUGAUGAAGAAAUUACUUGCUAGAGGAUGUAGUGAUUUCACACUCGGAAAGACUGGUUUACCCAGAUUUCACGUUGAUAAUUCCGCGUAUAGUUCUAAGCAAGUUGGUGAUCUUUUGGUGCGCCGACCGCUUGUGAGACUUAAGCAUAGGGGCUGCCUAAAACCUUUGAGCAGCAACACUGAAGUACCUUGUUGGUUUGAUUACUUCAUCAGCAGAAGUCCACAAUACCCCAGGCAAUGUAUUGCCAACUAGAAAAGGAGCUGAAACCUUCUUGGCUGCUGAAUUAUUUAUCUGUUGUCCUGAAUUCUUUCUCAACAUUCUCAGGAUAUUUGCCAAGGGUAGAGCAGGUGCCCAAUAUUUUUCUGAAGGUUGUUUGCAGGAUCCGUAUGGUGCCAAUAGAUAUUCUUAUUCUGAGCCAACCGGUUAACCCUAUUACCUCUCUCAUGGUUGUCCACUGAUGUGACCUGAUUCCCGUGGAGGAGCACUUCAAUUGUGUGCAAAAUACCGAGUUGCAGUUUUGCUAUUCACUGGCUGGAAGAACAUAUACUGAUAAACGGUUAAGUCAAAAUGGUUCCGAGGGAAUUGAGUGCUUGGAUAUCUUGUUGAUCAGUCUACAAUGUAUUGACGACCGCCUAGCAGAAAUUAUGUUCGAUGAGAUUGCGCUGCAGGUUGCUAUACAUUGCAAGGAAUUUGGCAUUGCGGGAGAGGUGUUGGGCAGCUAUGUUUUUCCUAUUGCUUCAGUGGAGCACCCACCCUGUACUUUUGGGCAGCUUAUCCUAUUUGUGUCAAUGCACUGGAACAAUUCAUGUCGGAAGGGAUUCAAAAGAAGUGGUCAUACUGCAAUCAGCUUACUCAUUGGCAAUGCAUGGCGACGGUGUUCCAAUCUCCUUGAAAAUUGCAUAAUGAUCCUCCGAGGUCUAUUAUGGUGCUUGUGGUUUGUGAGAGAGUACAAUGAAGAUUGUUGUUUCACUAAGCAGCCAUUACAUGAUGGUAAACAGGCUUUCGACACUAUGUGCAUGUUCUAUUAGUACGGCUCUUGUACUACACCUAUCUUGCGACAAUGGAUGCACAUCUAUUUCAGAGCAUGCAGAGAAUGGGUUCCCUGAGCACAGAAAGUUCGAGCAUUAUUUUUCUUCAGUCAAUGCAACUUCAGCCAUAUGUGCUAGUCUGCUGCGUUAUCUUCUCAGUGCAGUCCUCUUAUGAAUUAUAUGAGCAUUGUGUACUGGAGCGUGCUGUCAUAUUUCUGGGUGUGACAAAAUGCAGGGGGCAAAUCAGAUUAUGAGCAUGUUAGUGGUAUGGAUUUUCUGAGUGAAGAUGAAUUUAAGGGGAAUGGUCGUGUGGAGAUGCUCAGAUUCAGGAGUAAUUCACUAGUGUGUGAAACUGCUAGUUCAGUUAAAGAGUUGACUGGAUUGAAAUCUGAGGAUGUCGGGUCUAACUCAAGAACAUUCUCAAGGAGGGAGGGGUGUCAUCGCUGUCGCAGCCCGCUUCGCGCAAAGCUCCAUCGACCACAAGUACUACAUUGACUUCAACAAUGACUACUUCCUCGACAGUUCCUUCGGUGGGAUCGCAAUCGUCCAUGACUACUACUCCCAUGUUGUUAAAGCCAUCUCUGCCUUCAGCUGCCGCUACGACUUUGAGCCAGUCAAGGACCAUCGAGUGCAAUGGGACCCGGGCGAUUUUCGGUGGCACCGGCUUGGGGUCAAGCCGGAUUUCAAGGAGGGAGGGAUGUUAGGAGCCUCCUAGCCUGUACACGUACAGGGGUUGCCCCUUGGACCAGCCCAUGGACUUGGCCCUCGGUGCAGCUACUUAAGCGUGGUGUACAGAAGGAGAGGGUAUCCAGUGGAUCACGGACGAACCGACGACGACUCUUUCCUCCUACCUUCUUUCCCCUGUUGCAAGCUUCCUUUGUUCUUCUCCUCCAUUGUGUAAUUCCUCUGUAAUCACUACUCUGUAUUGCUACUUGUGAGAGAGAUCGAUCUAUACAAGCUAGCUACCAUCACCUCUCUUACAUCUGGUAUCAGAGACCAGCCACCACUCCUUCCCUACGCGUUUCGCCAAGCUCGUCGGCAUCGGGUAGCCAUGGAUCCAUGGAUGCAGGCGUAUCUCGAGCGGAUCGACACCAUGCUCGACGCCUACACCGACGCCACCAGGUCCCUCAUCGAGAAAGUGGACGCACUGGUCGUCACCUGGCGGCCAGACCUGGAGAAGAGGUCCUCCCACACCGCCGUCGUCCACGGUCCACCAGCGCCGACCUCGGCGCUCGAGACCACUACUGAGGCGUCCGAACCUGUCUCUGGCAUCUACUACUCCACCACCAAGGCCCAGGAGAUCCCCACGGUCGCCCAUGAUGCAACUCCGAUAUGCAUUCCGAUGGUGCCUGUCACCUGUUCGACGGAUUGCUCGACCCAGGUCGACGCCAUCGACAACGCCGACGAAGUCCAUGACGCCGCCACCGUCGCAACGGAGGUACGCAACACUACAACAGCACUCGGCCCCGAGCUCGCGGUCGACCUCUGCAAGACCAUGGCGACCACCAAGGUAGCCACCUGUGGUCACUACGGCAAGCUCGACGGCCUCAACAUCCCCGUGAAGGCCAGCAUCAGCCCGCCGCACCACGUCCAGGAUGCAUUCCCAAAUUAUUCCACAAUCAGCAACUGUCGCGCCGAUGUUGCCGGGACGGAUGAGUACGAACUCGUGGAGGCCACUCCAGGCGUCGCCAUUGAGCUUGCCAUCCUCCCAGGCGUCUCCUCCUUCAUGAACAAGCUAUUCCGGAAGCAUGACAUGGACGUCUCGCCGCCCACAAGGCACAAAGGGCAGCCAAUACGGCCGACACCAUGGCCGUCAUUUCUGGUGCAUCAUAGUGCAAAGGGGAAUGAGAUUCGACCCACUCCGUGGCCAUCGUUUUCUUGCUCUCAUGAAGGUAUGACUCUGAAUCAUGAAACUCUGCUGCCUCAUGUUACAUGUGAGAUGAAGAUUACUUGCUAGAGGAUGCAGUGAUUUCACACUCGGAAAGACUGGUUUACCCAGAUUUCACGUUGAUAAUUCCGCGUAUAGUUCUAAGCAAGUUGGUGAUCUUUUGGUGCGCCGACCGCUUGUGAUACUGAAGCAUAGGGGCUGCCUAAAACCUUUGAGCAGCAACACUGAAGUACCUUGUUGGUUUGAUUACUUCAUCAGCAGAAGUCCACAAAUACCCCAAGCAAUGUGUUGCCAACUAGAAAAGGAGCUGAAACCUUCUUGGCUGCUGAAUUAUUUAUCUGUUGUCCUGAAUUCUUUCUCAACAUUCUCAGGAUAUUUGCCAAGGGUAGAGCAGGUGCCCAGUAUUUUUCUGAAUGUUGUUUGCAGGAUCCGUAUGGUGCCAAUAGAUAUUCUUAUUCCGAGCCAAUCGGUUAAUCCUAUUACCUCUCUCAUGGUUGUCCACUGUUGUGACCUGAUUCCCGUGGAGGAGCACUUCAAUUAUGUGCAAAAUACCGAGUUGCAGUUUUGCUACCCACCCUGUACUUUUGGGCAACCUAUCCUAUUUGUGUCAAUGCACUGGAACAAUUCAUGUCGGAAGGGAUUCAAAAGAAGUGGUCAUACUGCAAUCAGCUUACACAUUGGCAAUGCAUGGCGACGGUGUUCCAAUCUCCUUGAAAAUUGCAUAAGGAUCCUCCGAGGUCAAUUAUGGUGCUUGUGGUCUGUGAGACAGUGCAAUGAAGAUUGUUGUUUCACUAAGCAGCCAUUACAUGAAAGUAAACAGGCUUUCGACACUAUGUGCAUGUUCUAUUAGUACGGCUCUUGUACUACAGUAUUCCUAUCUUGCAACAAUGGAUGCACAUCUAUUUCAGAGCAUGCAGAGAAUGGGUUCCCUGAGCACAGAAAGUUCGAGCAUUAUUUUUCUUCAGUCAAUGCAACUUCAGCCAUAUGCGCUAGUCUGCUGCGUUAUCUUCUCAGUGCAGUCCUUUUAUGAAUUACUAGUAAUUUGCCCGUGUGUUGCUAUGGAAUAAAAUAGAUGUAUAUGAAUAUAUUACAAAAAAAUCAUUGCAUUUUGUGGAAUCCCUACCACAUACUCGUUGGGUUCUGUUUCUCUUAAUUUGUUUAUCUCCUCUUCCAUUCCCUCACAUUUGUUCUCUCCGGUCACCAACUCUUCCUCUAGCCCCUCCAUCACUUCCUCCAACUUUGAUGAAUCUCAUCCAUGGAUGUUUAGAGCUGAAGAAUGGUGACACAUUAAGUGACAACGUGGGUUUCACUUUUUAGAUGCCACUUUCUUUGAACCCCUAAACACAAACACAUAUUAUUUCUAGCCUCGGUUUCUUUUCCUCCCUAGCAUUUUCCACCUUAGCCUUUUAGACACCUAAUUUGUUUUGUCCCCCUUUACCACGGUGACAAUUUGAAUUCAUAUGGUUAAAAACAUAAAAAUCACAUAUGCUCUUAAAUGCAAUGGCAAAAAGUAAUCUGGUGAGCUCUCUCUAAAUCAAAAUGUCCAAGACAAAACUGGACACCGUGUACAUGUACUGUAGAUCAGUAGUGUAGUUACUUAGAACUUGGACAAUAUUCUUGAUAAUUUUUGCAACAAGAAGUUGAGGGCCACUAUGGACUAAUUCUGUAUAGUAUAUAAUGUUACAGAUAUGACUGUGAUGUUGUGAAAAUAAAGUGAAUAGUUUCAAUAGUCAACAUGCUGUAAAGUAUCCUCUUAAGUUGAGGCCCUACCGCUGCUAUGAGGCAAAUUAGUAAAUUUACACGCUUGAUUGCAAAUGGAACAACGGCACAUACUUUGUGGUGCUUAAAUAAGCUAGGGUGAUGUAGUGUCAAUUAAAGAGUGGAAGGUGAUUAUUUUCUAACAAUAUAGGAUGAAAGCACAAGACAUUUUGAGAUCCUUGGAUUCACACGGAACAUAACAAAAGUAACACACAGAUCAAUCAAAUACUAUAUCUUUAAACAAAACAAAACCAGUAAUUAGUUUUCGACCAUACAUUGUACAUUACAGCGACAAACAUUAGUUCCAAAAUGACACCCAAUUCAACAGAUAUGUAGCAGCUUAAUGAGCCAUGUUACAAUAAUCAAGAACCAAAAUAGACACUUCUUUCCAUCUAUGCAUUCUUGCUGGCAAGAGUCACAGCUCAAGUCUUCUUUCUCCUAAGUGCAUUUCUUGCUUCUUUGUCUUAGAUUGGAUCUUUCAGUACUACAGAGGAACAAUGCAAGCACAAAACAUUCGAGCAAGAAUAUCUGAAAGUGCGUCAUCUACCGUCCUUGGUUCAAAAGGUCUAGACAAAAGGCUCCAACAUCAUGCCAUACUACUAAAGCUUGCUCCUGAUCCAUGAGUGUUUUACUAAGAUCGUUGUCGAUCCUGCAAAAGUAUUUAUACUUAAAUUUGGCAUAAAUGUGUUCCUUGCAUUACCUCUGAUCCAUCUGACGCCAGCUGCAAUAGAGCAGUGCUAUCCAGACGACAUUAUUUGGACGAUUUGCAGCCGACGAUUGAAUCCAGCCGUGCAAUCUUGUUCACGGCAGAGCAACGGCCGGUGGAUUCUUUAAUCGUGCACAGAUCGUCCAAAAGUUUAUCGUGUGUGAAGCAGUUUCGGCUGCAAUAUUUGGACCAAAGUACCCCUUGCUAAAAACAGUAGUAUGCAGAUCGUGCUCUACUUGAAGACAAAACGAUGAUUAAUAUAUAUAAAUGAUGCUAUGGAUACAUGAUACAAUUAGAUUAUCUAUAACGAAUAAACCAGCACCAUCCUUACCAACUUCAUGCUUUACUCUCAGCAUGGUAACUACAACGAUGGUACACGCCUCAACACUUAUCGGCCAAGUGGUUUGAUUAUUGUCACUAACUAAUUUCUGAACUUAUCUGUAUACUAACUGUUUGAAGUAAGCACUAAAAAGUACAUGCUGCUCAUGUUCAGGGAGAUGACGUACUUUAGAGAACCCAUACAUAACAGACAAAGUUUCAAAACGUACAAGAAGUCCAAACAUCAUGGAUAAAAUUAGAAUCCAAGAUUCUUGUCUCGUGCACACAUUCAUCUACAACCACGAGCUGCAGUUCACUUAAUUAUGAAGUAUGAACUAACUCAUCAAGGACUCAGUUAAGCAUCAGCAGGAGUAAGACAGAGGAGGUGGAAAUGCGCUCGGAUGGAAGCAAAUCAGAGCAGAGCACGACGUACUGUCCACAUGUUUGUCGACAUGGUGGCAUUGCGCUCCUGAGGAUCCGGUGCAGCUCUGGAGCGAGAGCGCCGACAUGGGGUGUGACCUCCAUGCGGUCUGGUGAUGGCAGGUGGGCAGUGGGCAUGCCCGCAGGGUGUGCGGCCUCCAGACAGUCGCAAGUACGGCGAACGAGCACGCUUGAAGAGGUUGCGGCUUCCGCGAUUCAUUGACGGUGAGCUAGUAGUACUGGCAGCGGUAGUGGCCACCACGCGGCACGGGUGACAGCGAGCGAGCAGGGCAUCAGACACAGAGCGUGAUGGACAGAAAGAAAGACACAGGAAGGGAGAGGGAUGAAGAAGCUGGGAGAAUUGGGGCGGUGUACAUGACGAUCUGAAUUUUGAACUAAGAUUGGGAACACCCAUGUCAGGGGAAGGGGUAUUGGGGGAGGUUGGCGGCAUGGGGGAAGCUGGCGGCAGCAAGACACAUUAGAGGGAGGCCGUGAGCAGGGGAGGUAAGAAGGCUUGGUUGCCUGGCUGCCGGUACGUGGAGCUCGGCGAGGAGGAAGGAGAGGUCGUGUGCGGCGGGGCUCCUACAUCAGAGUCUCGUGUGAGGAAGCAGGAGAGUCCUCGCGGGACUCAAGGGGCGGAUGGCGCCGGCGGCGUAGUUGCCGAUCGUCGGAGGAGAAGGGGUAGGGUUGGAGGAGAAGGUGGUGGGCGGCGGGUCUGCUGCAUCGGAGGAGAAGGCAUGAGAGGAGUCGCAGACUCGGCGGAAGGACGGCACCAGCGGCGUACUUGCCGAUGUCGGCGUCGUAGGAGACGAGGUAGGGGGAGGAGGAGACGACGGGGAGGUGCGUGUGGCGGUGGCCGGUGAGGUUCCUAUGGCAAAGAGGAGGGACGGAGCGCCNNNNNNNNNNNNNNNNNNNNNNNNNNNNNNNNNNNNNNNNNNNNNNNNNNNNNNNNNNNNNNNNNNNNNNNNNNNNNNNNNNNNNNNNNNNNNNNNNNNNNNNNNNNNNNNNNNNNNNNNNNNNNNNNNNNNNNNNNNNNNNNNNNNNNNNNNNNNNNNNNNNNNNNNNNNNNNNNNNNNNNNNNNNNNNNNNNNNNNNNNNNNNNNNNNNNNNNNNNNNNNNNNNNNNNNNNNNNNNNNNNNNNNNNNNNNNNNNNCAAAUGUGAAGUGGGGUUGGCUCCUAUGCGUUGGAUGCAGAUCAAACGGCCCAAAAAGAUAGAUGGCAGGCACACCAUCACCAUCAACUCAGAUUUUUAUAGGAGUAGAGAUAGAGAUAUGAGCAUCGUGUACUGGAGCGUGCUGUCAUAUUUUUGGGUGUGACAAAAUGCAGGGGGCAAAUCAGAUUAUGAGCAUGUUAGUAGUAUGGAUUUUCUGAGUGAAGAUGAAUUUAAGGGGAAUGAUCGUGUGGAGAUGCUCAGAUUCAGGAGUAAUUCACUAGUGUGUGAAACUGCUAGUUCAGUUAAAGGGUUGACUGGAUUGAAAUCCGAGGAUGUCGGGUCUAACUCAAGAACAUUCUCAAGGAGGGAGGGGUGUCAUCGUUGUCGCAACCCACAUCGCGCAAAGCUCCAUCGACCACACAACGACUACUUCCUCGACAGUUCCUUCGAUGGGAUCGCAAUCGUCCAUGACUACUACUCCCAUGUUGUUAAAGCCAUCUCUGCCUUCAACUGCCGCUAUGACUUUGAGCCAGUCAAGGACCAUCGAGUGCAAUGGGACCCGGGCGGUUUUCGGUGGCGCCGGCUUGGGGUCAAGCCGGAUUUCAAGGAGGGAGGGAUGUUAGGAGCCUCUACACAUACAGGGGCUGCCCCUUGGACCAGCCCAUGGACUGCCCUCGAUGCAGCUACUUAAGCAUGGUGUACAGAAGGAGAGAGUAUCCAGUGGAUCACGAACGAACCGACGACGGCUCUUUCCUCCUACCUUCUUCCCCCUGUUGCAAGCUUCCUCUGUAAUCACUACUACCUCCGUUCGGGUUUAUUAAUCCCCAUUGUAUUUCGUGCCAAAUUUUGACCAUAGAUCAAACUAACAAAAUGUUCACGCAUGUCACCAAACAUUAUAUUUUUGAAAACUAUGUUCAAAUACGAAUCCAAUGAGAUAAUUUUUCUUGACAUGCAUUAACAUUUUGUUAGUUAAAUCUUUAGUCAAAAUUUGGCACAAACUACAAAGGGGACCUAUAAACCAGGAGGGAGGUAGUACUCUAUUGCUACUCGUGAGAGAGAUCAAUCUAUACAAGCUAGCUACCAUCACCUCUCUUACAUUGGGUUUCAAUAAUCUGCUGCACAAAAUCUGGUUUUUGAAAGCUUUAUCCUGAGGGACCCUUAAAGCCAUUGCAGCAACACAAUUCUGGCGCAUGCUGCACAAAAUCUGGUUUUGGAAGCUGAGCCCAAGGGACACUUCACACCAUUACGUCCUAACUCGAACACAGUUCUGGCUCUCAACAAGGAUCGCAGCAUCAAACAUCUCAACCAACGAGAACCUCAAACAAGGCAAAAGCAGAAAUCCAAGCCACGGACGAGGCGAAAAGCCAGACAGAAAGGGAGUUGAGUACUGGACUGAACGAUUUAUAUAUUCUUCACAAACCACAACCAAAAAAGAGUACUUGAUUAGCAACUCCAUUACAGAUACUAGAGGUUGAUGCGGAAAACAGAAGGUAACUCAUGUCCAACUAACAUGAACCAGGCGUCGUCUGGCGACACCAUCCACAUUUAUUCUUCGCAUAGACAAAGCAGGGACACCUCUGACCAGGCGCCACAAACGAAAGCAGAACGCUCUACUGAGUCUUGGCCAUGUGGCGGAUCAGGUCGACAACGCGGUUGCUGCAGAGGAAUAAGAUUCAAG
rnacentral:lncRNA from 1 species